GGGGAAGUGGCUCAGUGGUAGAGCACUUGCCUUGCAUGCAUGAGGCCCUGGGUUCGAUUCCCCAGCACCA
rnacentral:tRNA from 1 species